UGCGUAGGCGGAAUGAUAAGUUAGUGGUGAAAGCCCCCGGCUCAACCGGGGAACUGCCAUUAAUACUGUCAUUCUUGAGUAUAGUUGAAGUGGGCGGAAUGUAUCAUGUAGCGGUGAAAUGCUUAGAUAUGAUACAGAACACCGAUAGCGUAGGCAGCUUGCUAAACUAUAACUGACGCUCAGGCACGAAAGCGUGGGGAGCAAACAGGAUUAGAUACCCUGGUAGACC
rnacentral:rRNA from 1 species